GGAGAGGCAGAGAGAGGAGGAGAGAGAGGAGCAGAGAAAGAAAGCCAUUAAAUGCCAUUUAUCUUUAAUCAGAGAGAGAGAAAAUAUAAUACAGGCAAAAAAAAGAGAGGAGAUGGUGGAAGAGGAAAGAAGGGAGAUCCUUGAGUACAAGAGGGGUGAGUUAGAGGAGGAGGAGAAGGAAGAUGACAAGGAGGACAUUCUCCCACCUGAUAAAAGUAUCAGAAGGAGAGCUGUGGGCUGGGUGAAUAAAACAUGGGAGAAGAGGAACCUCAGAAAGAUAGAGAGAACGUAUCAGAGAGAGGCUGAGGAGGGCUAUAAGAUCGUCCACAUAGCCAUCCCUGGACACACAAGGCUAACAUCCACCAUGACCCGGGCAGAGAGAGAGAGGGAGAAGAGGAAGGAGCUGCUGAAGGCUGAGGAGAGAAGGAAGAAGAUGGAGGAUUUCAAUAAGCAGUGGAGAGAGCGGUCCCUGCUUAAAAAACACACUCAUCAAAAACUGAAGGAGGAGAGGGAGAGGAUGAAGGAAAACUACCUGGAGCAGAUGAAUCUGGAGGCUGAUGCUCAAAUCAACACCCGGUGUCUAACCACCCAACACAGCCACGAUUACAACCACGGUCAGGAGUUGCCCAGGUGGGCCACAGGCCAGCAGGUAAGCCAAGAGAGGCAACAGGCAUGGGCAGACAACCAGGAGGGGAGUUCAGAGAACCAGCAGGAGGGGCCAGAGAACCAUCAGGGGGGGCCAGACAGCCAGCAGCUAGAAGCUCCAGAAGAGGCUGAAACAUCAGAGCCAAUCUCCAACACAAAGACAAAGAAAAAGCCAAGCAUCUGGAAGAAAAUUAGGAUGAGCCUUCCUGACGUGCUGUCUGCCUAGAGCUGGAACUCGAUGAAGCCACAGUUCCACUGAGGUUACGUUGGUAAUUAAAAGUGUCGCCCAAUAAUUCCUCCUCCUCUUUAAGUCAUCGAGCCACAUUUCCUCCUCAAAACAUUAUAGUCUCCUCUAGCCAGCAAGUAUCCUCUUUAUCAGGCAACAAACCAUCGAAGGUCAGUGACCCUCCUCCCCAGAGCAGAGAUUCUCAUCUUUAUCCUAGUUAAAUUCAUCUCUGAUCACCACCUCUACAGUCCUAGAAAAUAUCCCAAAAAUGGAAAUGGUUUCAACAGAAGUCCUCCCCUCAGACCAGUGGCUCCACAGACCAG
ensembl:lncRNA